UCCAGGUUAUCCCUGGCGGUCUCCUGCGAGUUCCCAACUGAAUGAUGGCAACUAAGGCCGAGGGUUGCGCUCGUUGCGGGACUUAACCCAACAUCUCACGACACGAGCUGACGACAGCCAUGCAGCACCUCGACUCUAGUCCCUUGCGGGAAAACCGUGUUUCCACAGUCGUUCACGAGCCGUUCGAGCCCAGGUAAGGUUGUUCGCGUUGCAUCGAAUUAAUCCACAUCAUCCACCGCUUGUGCGGGUCCCCGUCAAUUCCUUUGAGUUUUAACCUUGCGGCCGUACUCCCCAGGCGGUCAACUUCACGCGUUAGCUUCGUUACCAAGGAAUUGCUUCCCCGACAACCAGUUGACAUAGUUUAGGGCGUGGACUAC
rnacentral:misc_RNA from 1 species